UACGGGGGGGGCAAGCGUUGUUCGGAAUUACUGGGCGUAAAGGGCUCGUAGGCGGCCAACUAAGUCAGACGUGAAAUCCCUCGGCUUAACCGGGGAACUGCGUCUGAUACUGGUUGGCUUGAAUCCGGGAGAGGGAUGUGGAAUUCCAGGUGUAGCGGUGAAAUGCGUAGAUAUCUGGAGGAACACCGGUGGCGAAGUCGGCAUCCUGGACCGGUAUUGACGCUGAGGAGCGAAAGCCAGGGGAGCAAACGGG
rnacentral:rRNA from 1 species